rnacentral:rRNA from 1 species
CCCUUAGAUGUCCUGGGCCGCACGCGCGCUACACUGACAUGUUCAACAAGCCUCCUAGUUCGACAGGAUUUGGGAAAUCUUUGAACGCAUGUCGUGAUAGGGAUAGAUCAUUGCAAUUAUUGAUCUUGAACGAGGAAUUCCUAGUAAACGCGAGUCAUCAGCUCGCAUUGAUUACGUCCCUGCCCUUUGUACACACCGCCCGUCGCUACUACCGAUUGAAUGAUUUAGUGAGUACCAGGGACCGAGCGCUUUGGUUGGGUUUCCUUCCCUAGCGCUUGGGAACUGUCGCAAACUUGACCAUUUAGAGGAAGUAAAAGUCGUAACA